rnacentral:rRNA from 1 species
AUGGAUGGUGGCAGUGGUUUGAACAUAUUGUAUGCUGAGACGUUGAAAGGGAUGGGCAUUCCGAUGUCCAGACUCAGUGCCAGCAACAUGAGUUUCCAUGGAGUCAUUCCUGGGAAGAAGGUUGAAUCACUCGGCCAGAUUGCUCUUGAUGUGGUUUUCGGUGAUUCCAAGAAUUACCGCAAAGAGAAGUUGACAUUUGAAGUUGUAGACUUCCAGAGUGCCUACCAUGCUAUUUUGGGCAGGCCGGCUUAUGCAUGCUUCAUGGCCCGACUAUGUUAUGUGUAUCUCAAAUUGAAGAUGCCUGGCCCCAAAGGUGUGAUCACUAUUACGGGCAAUCGGAAGAAAGCGGAAGAAUGUUUUCAAAAAGGUUCGAAGAUCGCCUACGUUCAGAUGGCAGUGGUGGAGUUGCAGGAAUACCAGAAGACUGCAGACCCGAGUGAUUUGUUGCGAGCCAAGAAGCCCGCUACGGAGUCAGCUUUUCAGUCGACUGGCGAUACAAUGACAGCUCAUAUCCACCCGACCGACCCCAGCGCUGCUCCAACUCAUAUCUCGACAGCACUCGACUCCAAAUAG